AGUGGCUAGCGAGUUUACUUUGAAUAAAUUAGAGUGCUCAAAACAAGCGUUUGCUUGAAUGCUCGAUCAUGGAAUAAUAAAAGAGGACUUCGGUUCUAUUUGUUGGUUCAGGAACUGAAUUAAUGGUUAAGAGGGACAACUCGGGGGCAUUCGUAUCCCUGCGCGAGAGGUGAAAUUCGUGGACCGCAGGGGGACGCCCUAAAGCGAAAGCAUUUGCCAAGAAUGUCUUCAUUAAUCAAGAACGAAAGUCAGAGGUUCGAAGGCGAUUAGAUACCGCCCUAGUUCUGACCGUAAACUAUGCCAUCUAGCGAUCCAAUGGGGUAGUUGUAGCCUUGUUGGGGAGCUUCCCGGAAACGAAAGUCUUUCGGUUCCUGGGGUAGUAUGGUUGCAAAGCUGAAACUUAAAGAAAUUGACGGAAGGGCACCACCAGGAGUGGAGCCUGCGGCUUAAUUUGACUCAACACGGGAAAACUCACCCGGCCCGGACACCGUUAGGAUUGACAGAUUGAAAGCUCUUUCUCGAUUUGGUGGUUGGUGGUGCAUGGCCGUUCUUAGUUGGUGGAGCGAUUUGUCUGGUUUAUUCCGAUAACGAGCGAGACUCUAGCCUGCUAAAUAGUGUCCAGAUAUAUAAGUCUGGCUUACUUCUUAGAGGGAUAAGCGGUGUUUAGCCGCACGAGAUUGAGCGAUAACAGGUCUGUGAUGCCCUUAGAUGUUCGGGGCUGCACGCGCGCUACACUGGAAGAAUCAGCUGAUCCUUCCAUUGCCGAAAGGUAUUGGUAAACCGUUGAAACUCUUCCGUGACCGGGAUAGGGAAUUGUAAUUAUUUCCCUUGAACGAGGAAUUCCUAGUAAGUGUGAGUCAUCAGCUCACGUUGAUUACGUCCCUGCCCUUUGUACACACCGCCCGUCGCUGUCCGGGACUGAGCUGUUUCGAGAAGAGUGGAGACUGCUGUAUUGGGGCUUUCGGGCUCUGGUAUGAUGGAAACCAUUUUAAUCGCAAUGGCUUGAACCGGGCAAAAGUCGUAACAAGGUAUCUGUAGGUGAACCUGCAGAUGGAUCAUCG
rfam:Heterorhabditis bacteriophora unplaced genomic scaffold Scaffold921, whole genome shotgun sequence.